rnacentral:rRNA from 1 species
ACUACGGGUGGCAGCAGUAAGGGAUAUUGGUCAAUGGGGGAAACCCUGAACCAGCAACGCCGCGUGAGGGAAGACGGUUUUCGGAUUGUAAACCUCUGUCCUCUGUGAAGAUGAUGACGGUAGCAGAGGAGGAAGCUCCGGCUAACUACGUGCCAGCAGCCGCGGUAAUACGUAGGGAGCGAGCGUUGUCCGGAUUUACUGGGGGUAAAGGGUGCGUAGGCGGCUUGGCAAGGCAGUAGUGAAAUGCAUGGGCUUAACCCAUGAAAUGAUAUUGAAACGGGCGAGCUUGCGUAAGGUAGAGGUAGGCGGAAUGCCCGGUGAAGCGGUGAAAGGCGUAGAGAUCGGGAGGAACACCAGUGGCGAAGGCGGCCUACUGGGCUUUAACUGACGCUGAGGCACGAAAGCGUGGGUAGCAAACAGGAUUAGAUACCCUUGUAGUC